CGCGCAGGCGGUCGAUUUAGUCGUGUGUGAAAGCCCCCGGCUCAACUGGGGAGGGUCACGCGAUACUGAUCGACUCGAAGGCAGGAGAGGGUAGUGGAAUUCCCGGUGUAGUGGUGAAAUGCGUAGAUAUCGGGAGGAACACCAGUGGCGAAGGCGACUACCUGGCCUGUUCUUGACGCUGAGGCGCGAAAGCUAGGGGAGCAAACG
rnacentral:rRNA from 1 species